rnacentral:tRNA from 1 species
GCCCGGGUAGCUCAGUCGGCAGAGCAGCUCACUCGUAAUGAGCAGGUCAGGAGUUCGAUUCUCCUCUCGGGCU